GGGGAGUUGGCCGAGUGGCUUAAGGCGUACGCCUGGAACGCGUAUAAACGUUUAUUCGUUUCGAGGGUUCAAAUCCCUCACUCUCCG
rnacentral:tRNA from 1 species